GUGGGGAAUAUUGGACAAUGGGGGGAACCCUGAUCCAGCCAUGCCGCGUGUGUGAAGAAGGCCUUUUGGUUGUAAAGCACUUUAAGCGAGGAGGAGGCUACCGAGAUUAAUACUCUUGGAUAGUGGACGUUACUCGCAGAAUAAGCACCGGCUAACUCUGUGCCAGCAGCCGCGGUAAUACAGAGGGUGCAAGCGUUAAUCGGAUUUACUGGGCGUAAAGCGCGCGUAGGUGGCCAAUUAAGUCAAAUGUGAAAUCCCCGAGCUUAACUUGGGAAUUGCAUUCGUUACUGGUUGGCUAGAGUAUGGGAGAGGAUGGUAGAAUUCCAGGUGUAGCGGUGAAAUGCGUAGAGAUCUGGAGGAAUACCGAUGGCGAAGGCAGCCAUCUGGCCUAAUACUGACACUGAGGUGCGAAAGCAUGGGGAGCAAACAGGAUUAGAAACCCCUGUAGUCC
rnacentral:rRNA from 1 species